rfam:Plasmodium falciparum FCH/4 unplaced genomic scaffold supercont2.41, whole genome shotgun sequence.
UCCGCCGAAUUUAAGCAUAUAAUUAAGCGGAAGAAAAGAAAAUAACUAUGAUUCCUUUAGUAACGGCGAGUGAACAAGGACCAGCUCAAACGGUUAAUCCUUCGUUUGGUGCAAACCUUUCGACGGAAUUGUCGUUGAAUUAUUCCAUGAAUGCCUUUAAUUUGAGCAAAGUGAGCAGGAAUGCUUCCCCAUAGAGGGUGAAAGGCCCAUAGUUCUUUUUAAUUUAUUCAUUGGAAUUUUUCAUGCCGAGUCGUGUUCUUUGAGAUUGGAGCACUAAUACGUGUGAUACAUUUCACAUAAAGCUAAAUAUGUGUAGGAGACCGAUAGCAAACAAGUACCGUGAGGGAAAGAUGAAAUAGUACUCAGGAAUGAGCAAUUAAAUAGUACCUGAAAUCGUUAAGACGGAACGGAUUAAGAGAGAAAACAAGUAAAGAGGGGAAUUUUUAAUUUUUUUUGUUUUAAUUCUCUUCUUUAUUAAAAGAAACAUCAGUGAUUAAUUUAAUUUCAAUAAAGCAAUCCCCUGAAAUUCAAAAUUUCUUUUAAUUUUGUUUUCACUUUCUCCCCGCACUAAUGUGGGGAAAACUGGCUUUAUUUCUUCAAUUAUUUUUUUUGCUGAGGAAUUUUAAAAUUAUUUGAAUUUUUCUUCUUAUAAUUUAAGUUGUUUCUAUAUAGUACUUUCUUAACCCACUCGUCUUGAAACACGG